ACUUCUUCCAGAUAUGUCUGCUUGGCCCGUUUUGGCACUAGCACAUUUUUGCUUCUGUCUCUCUGCUCUGAGCAAUCAUGUGUAGUGCCAAUAUGGGAAAAGCAAGAUGCGACAUCGGAGUGUG
rnacentral:pre_miRNA from 12 species